rnacentral:rRNA from 1 species
UACAGAGGUCCCAAGCGUUGUUCGGAUUCACUGGGCGUAAAGGGUGCGUAGGUGGUGAGGUAAGUCGGAUGUGAAAUCUCGGAGCUUAACUCCGAAAUGGCAUUGGAAACUACCUUGCUCGAGGGUUGGAGGGGGGACUGGAAUACUUGGUGUAGCAGUGAAAUGCGUAGAUAUCAAGUGGAACACCAGUGGCGAAGGCGAGUCUCUGGACAAUUCCUGACGCUGAGGCACGAAAGCCAGGGGAGCAAACGGG